rnacentral:rRNA from 1 species
UACGUAGGGUCCGAGCGUUGUCCGGAAUCAUUGGGCGUAAAGCGCACGUAGGCGGCUUGGCAAGUCGGAUGUGAAAUCCCUCGGCUCAACCAAGGAAGUGCAUCCGAAACUGCUGAGCUUGAGUACUUAAGAGGAUCGCGGAAUUCCCGGUGUAGAGGUGAAAUUCGUAGAUAUCAGGAGGAACACCGAUGGCGAAGGCAGGUCUCUGGGCUGACACUGACGCUCAUGCACGAAAGCGUGGGGAGCAAACAGG